GAUGAACGCUAGCGGCAGGCUUAAUACGUGCAAGUCGAGGGGCAGCAGUCCCGUAGCAAUACGGGAGCUGGCGACCGGCAAACGGGUGCGGAACACGUACGCAACUUUCCUUCAAGUGGGGAAUAGCCCAGGGAAACUUGGAUUAAUACCUCGUAAUAUUAUGAAGUGGCAUCACUUUAUAAUUAUAGCUCCGGCGCUUGAAGAUGGGCGUGCGCCUGAUUAGGUAGUUGGCGGGGAACGCCCACCAAGCCUACGAUCAGUAACUGGUGUGAGAGCACGACCAGUCACACGGGCACUGAGACACGGGCCCGACUCCUACGGGAGGCAGCAGUAAGGAAUAUUGGGCAAUGGACGCAAGUCUGACCCAGCCAUGCCGCGUGGAGGAUGAAGGUCCU
rnacentral:rRNA from 1 species